GACGAACGCUGGCGGCAUGCCUAAUACAUGCAAGUCGAACGAUGAUAUCACUGCUUGCAGUGAUUGAUUAGUGGCGAACGGGUGAGUAACACGUGAGGAACUUGCCCAUGAGCGGGGGACAACAUUCGGAAACGGAUGCUAAUACCCCAUAGGUGGAUUGGUCGCAUGACUAAUUCAUUAAAGGUGGCUCUGCUACCACUCAUGGAUAGCCUCGCGGCGUAUUAGCUAGUUGGUAAGGUAAUGGCUUACCAAGGCAGUGAUACGUAGCCGACUUGAGAGGAUGAUCAGCCAGACUGGGACUGAGACACGGCCCAGACUCCUACGGGAGGCAGCAGUGAGGAAUCUUCCACAAUGGGCGAAAGCCUGAUGGAGCAACGCCGCGUGCAGGAUGAAGGCCUUCGGGUUGUAAACUGCUUUUAUAAGUGAGGAAUAUGACGGUAACUUAUGAAUAAGGAUCGGCUAACUACGUGCCAGCAGCCGCGGUCAUACGUAGGAUCCGAGCGUUAUCCGGAGUGACUGGGCGUAAAGAGUUGCGUAGGCGGUUUGUUAAGCGAAUAGUGAAACCUGGUGGCUCAACCAUACAGACUAUUAUUCGAACUGGCAAACUCGAGAGUGGUAGAGGUCACUGGAAUUUCUUGUGUAGGAGUGAAAUCCGUAGAUAUAAGAAGGAACACCGAUGGCGUAGGCAGGUGACUAGACCAUUUCUGACGCUAAGGCACGAAAGCGUGGGGAGCGAACCGGAUUAGAUACCCGGGUAGUCCACGCCGUAAACGAUGGAUACUAGCUGUUGGAGGUAUCGACCCCUUCAGUAGCGAAGCUAACGCGUUAAGUAUCCCGCCUGUGGAGUACGGCCGCAAGGCUAAAACAUAAAGGAAUUGACGGGGACCCGCACAAGCGGUGGAUCGUGUUCUUUAAUUCGAUGAUAAACGAAGAACCUUACCAGGGCUUGACAUCCAGGGAAGGUCUGCGAAAGCGGACUGUGCCUUUUGGAACCCUGUGACAGGUGCUGCAUGGCCGUCGUCAGCUCGUGUCGUGAGAUGUUUGGUUAAGUCCAUCAACGAGCGCAACCCUUGCAACUAGUUGGAUUUUUCUAGUUGGACUGCCCCGGUAACGGGGAGGAAGGAGGGGAUGAUGUCAGGUCAGUAUUGCCCUUACGUCCUGGGCUAGAAACACGAUACAAUGGCUAGUACAAUGCGCAGCGAAGCCGCAAGGUGGAGCAAAUCGCAUCAAAGCUAGUCCCAGUUCGGAUUGGAGGCUGAAACUCGCCUCCAUGAAGUCGGAAUCGCUAGUAAUCGCAGAUCAGCAAGCUGCGGUGAAUACGUUCCCGGGUCU
rnacentral:rRNA from 1 species